rnacentral:lncRNA from 1 species
UUCAGAGUCUCCACUACAAAAGUUGAAGCUCCGAUGGAGAAAGUAAGACCUAAGCAUGGCUUCAGCAUAAAUUACUGUGCUCAGAAGGCAGAAACCUCCAGAUGCAGUGCAUGUUGCUAAGCGCCCCGCCACGAAGUGGGGGCUAGAGGUAUAGGCCAUGGUCCAGAAUUUCAUCAGCUCAUCCUUCAGUUUCUCAGUUGUGCAUUUAUAGGUGAUGCCGCAUUCUUUGUUUGCUAACUUGUAUUUCUUGUUAUAUUUCAGGUCCAAGUAACACUUUGUAGUUGGUAUUGCCACAGCUGAGGAGAUCAGUUGCAGAAGCAAAACAAGCAUAAGAAACAUGAGUGCUAUAUGCUCUUUGCAGAAAACAUAGAUUACACCUGUAGCUAAUUGUAUGCCAAUGUUGACGAUGGCUGUGAUGACGAUAAU